rnacentral:rRNA from 1 species
CGUAACACGUAUGCAAUCUACCUUAUACUGGGGCAUAACUCCGAGAAAUCGGUGCUAAUUCCCCAUAACACUGCACUAUGGCAUCAUAGAGCAGUUAAAGUUCCGGCGGUAUAAGAUGAGCAUGCGUCCAAUUAGCUAGUUGGUGAGGUAACGGCUCACCAAGGCUACGAUUGGUAGGGGUUCUGAGAGGAUGAUCCCCCACACUGGUACUGAGACACGGACCAGACUCCUACGGGAGGCAGCAGUGAGGAAUAUUGCGCAAUGGACGAAAGUCUGACGCAGCCAUGCCGCGUGAAGGAUGAAGGCCCUAUGGGUUGUAAACUUCUUUUGUACGGGAAAAAACGCUUCUAUGUAUAGAAGCCUGAUGGUACCGUAAGAAUAAGCACCGGCUAACUCCGUGCCAGCAGCCGCGGUAAUACGGAGGGUGCAAGCGUUAUCCGGAUUUAUUGGGUUUAAAGGGUCCGUAAGCGGACUGUUAAUUCAGCGGUGAAAUCCCACAGCUCAACUGUGGAACUGCCGUUGAUACUGACAGUCUUGAGUACAAGUGAGGUUGGCGGAAUGUGUGGUGUAGCGGUGAAAUGCUU